AACGAACGCUGGCGGCAUGCCUAAUACAUGCAAGUCGAACGAGAUCUUCGGAUCUAGUGGCGCACGGGUGCGUAACGCGUGGGAAUCUGCCCUUGGGUUCGGAAUAACUUCUGGAAACGGAAGCUAAUACCGGAUGAUGACGUAAGUCCAAAGAUUUAUCGCCCAAGGAUGAGCCCGCGUAGGAUUAGCUAGUUGGUGGGGUAAAGGCUCACCAAGGCGACGAUCCUUAGCUGGUCUGAGAGGAUGAUCAGCCACACUGGGACUGAGACACGGCCCAGACUCCUACGGGAGGCAGCAGUAGGGAAUAUUGGACAAUGGGCGAAAGCCUGAUCCAGCAAUGCCGCGUGAGUGAUGAAGGCCUUAGGGUUGUAAAGCUCUUUUACCCGGGAUGAUAAUGACAGUACCGGGAGAAUAAGCUCCGGCUAACUCCGUGCCAGCAGCCGCAGUAAAAC
rnacentral:rRNA from 1 species